rnacentral:pre_miRNA from 1 species
AGAAUAACUAUAUAUUAUCACCAGUCAUAGGAAUACUAGUGAUAUGUACAGUUAUUCUGU